UCCCUGGUGGCUCAGAGGGUAAAGUAUCUUCCUGUGAUGUAGAAGACCCAGGUUCGAUCCCUGGGUCGGGAA
rnacentral:tRNA from 1 species